rnacentral:rRNA from 1 species
AUUGAACGCUGGCGGCAGGCCUAACACAUGCAAGUCGAACGCGUGGCGGGCGGGUGAGUAAUGUCUGGGAAACUGCCUGAUGGAGGGGGAUAACUACUGGAAACGGUAGCUAAUACCGCAUACCAUCAGAUGUGCCCAGAUGGGAUUAGCUAGUUGGUGGGGUAACGGGUCACCAAGGCGACGAUCCCUAGCUGGUCUGAGAGGAUGACCAGCCACACUGGAACUGGGAAACGGUCCAGAGUCCUACGGGAGGCAGCAGUGGGGAAUAUUGCACAAUGGGCGCAGGCCUGAUACAGCCAUGCCGCGUGUAUGAAGAAGGCCGUCGGGUUGUAAAGUACUUUCAGCGGGGAGGCGUUACCCGCAGAAGAGGCACCGGCUAACUCCGUGCCAGCAGCCGCGUAAUUC